rnacentral:misc_RNA from 1 species
AAGUCGUAACAAGGUCUCCGUAGGUGAACCUGCGGAGGGAUCAUUAUUGAAUUUCUUUGGCUUGUCCAAAGUCCCUUCAAACACCUGUGAACCGGGCUUCGGCCAUAUCUUUUAACAACGUAUCAAGAAAGUCUGUUGGGAAGCCUCUUUGGGUGACCUACAAAAGUAAAUAAAUACAACUUUUAGCAACGGAUCUCUUGGCUCUC